ACAGGGAGUCAAAGAUUUUGCAUGUUCUUUUUCUGGAUCUGUACCCCUUCAAGAAUACUUUGAGUUGAUUGAUCAUCAUUUUGAGCUACGGAUAAAUGGUGAAAAAUUAGAAGAACUCUUAUCUCAGAGAGCUGUACAAUUUCGGGCCAUUCAACGCCGGCUAUUAGCAAGAUUCAAAGAUAAAACUCCUGCACCUCUUCAACACCUGGACACCUUGUUAGAUGGAACCUACAAGCAGACACAAUGGUGGAAGGGCAUUUAAAGGAACUUGAAGAGGAUACUUGAUUUAAUGCUUUCCAGAUUUUCUAUAUAGUAAGACUUCGUCUUUUAUAGAUUGAAAGUGCAGAGGUUUUUUUUUUCUGUUUAGACUCAGGGUUGAGGUUUUCCAUGAUUUGUAAUAUUACAGACAAGAUGAUCAAAACCAUGGCUUUUCACUUGAAUGUAUUAUUGGUAAGUCCCAUUCCUUUUAGAUUAAUGAAAAGAAUGAAUAAGCAUUUGAAGGAAAAAUAUGAGUACUAUAAGGAUUUUGACUUAAUUUUUAUGUACCUUGCCAUUCAAUUUUAUUAUAUAUAUAUAUUUGUAAUAAAUUAGGGUGAGGUGUUGAUUGUUCAAAAAGUUUCUUGAGCAUAAUAAAGUCUAUUUUAAUUC
rnacentral:sRNA from 1 species